AACGCUAGCUACAGGCUUAACACAUGCAAGUCCAGGGGUAACUAGAGGAAAGCUUGCUUUUCUUGUUGACGACCGGCGCACGGGUGAGUAACGCGUAUCCAACCUGCCUAUAACUAGGGAAUAACCUUGCGAAAGUAAGACUAAUACCCUAUGAUUUCCUUUGAUGACAUCAGAUUAGGAAUAAAGAUUUAUCGGUUAUAGAUGGGGAUGCGUCUGAUUAGCUUGUUGGCGGGGUAACGGCCCACCAAGGCAACGAUCAGUAGGGGUUCUGAGAGGAAGGUCCCCCACAUUGGAACUGAGACACGGUCCAAACUCCUACGGGAGGCAGCAGUGAGGAAUAUUGGUCAAUGGGCGGAAGCCUGAACCAGCCAAGUAGCGUGCAGGAUGACGGCCCUAUGGGUUGUAAACUGCUUUUAUACAGGAAUAAAGUUAGCCACGUGUGGGUUAUUUGUAGGUACUGUAUGAAUAAGGACCGGCUAAUUCCGUGCCAGCAGCCGCGGUAAUACGGAAGGUCCAGGCGUUAUCCGGAUUUAUUGGGUUUAAAGGGAGCGUAGGCCGUCUGUUAAGCGUGUUGUGAAAUGUAGAUGCUCAACAUCUGAAUUGCAGCGCGAACUGGCAGACUUGAGUGUGCGCAACGUAGGCGGAAUUCGUGGUGUAGCGGUGAAAUGCUUAGAUAUCACGAAGAACUCCGAUUG
rnacentral:rRNA from 1 species